rnacentral:lncRNA from 1 species
CCAAAUAAUCUAAUUGUUGAACUGUUUAAUCUGAAACUCGAAAUCUUGAACGAAUUAUUAUCUGAUCUGGUUUUAAUAAUUAUGUUUUGAAAUAUAUACUUUUUCUUUUUAGCCACAAACCAAAUAAUCAAAUUCCCCAAAAAGAAACCCAACAGUAAAAAAGAAGACAGGUGAUAUUUAAACAUAGCAAAUAAAAUUCCAGAGUCAAUAAUCAAUCUAUUGUUAGACUAGAAAAUUUGCCCUCGAUUAUAGCUCUAGUUAUAUACUAUACCUAUUUAAUGAUCGGAUCAUUAAAAUCCAAAAGUUUGCAUGAUAUUUGAGAGAAUUUUUACAUAAAAUAUUAAGUUCAUUAAAUGAGAAUCUAAAUAAAAAAAUGAAGUCGGUUCAAAAGGCGGGCCGAAUGAUGACCAAAAAGAAAGGUUAGGCCACCACUCCAAAAUUUAAGGUCCAUGCCUGGAGUGAUUUACG